AGAUGCAACAUAAAAAUUUCAGAGACAGAAGAAAUCUUCCUUUGAGGGCAGUGAUACACUUAUGUGAGAUUUUGAAAAGUGAAAAAUCAAAGGUGGAAUUGACCAGUAGAUGUAAAAGUACAACAAAUAAACAAAAAUGGCAAUGUUGAAAGUGAAACUGAAAUUCAACAGAAAUAAAAGAAAUAGCAGACUGGGGGGAUAUUGACUUUGACACCAUGAUGCCAGAGGAACUUAGUGAUGGCAAACUUAUCAAUAUAAAAUGAGGAUAUUGGUUGUCAACUAGGUUGUGUGGUGGUCCUUGAUCUUGUCCAUCAAGUCCUUUUUCCCAAAGGAUAACUGAAGAAGAUCACAUACAUUCCAACUUAUUGAGUCUGAUAGGUAUUCAUCUGAUGAGCUCCUCUUCAACUGAGGAUUGAAAUGCUGUUUUUCUUCCCUGGUACAAUGUUAAAGCUUUAAACUCUUGUCAAUGAUGUGAUGUUUCAUCUGCAAUGAUCUACACUAGAAAAAUAAAAAUGUAGUUACUGACAAAAAAGCAGUACUCCAGGCAGAUUUAUAAAGGAAGCUGCUGGAAGGAAUUCAUUCCCUUUUUGCUGUUCUGCCUUCCACCUUCCACUGUGUGAGGACACUGCAAGAAAGCCCUCAUCAGACACCAACUGCCAGCACCUAGAUCUUGGAAUUCUCAGCCUCCAGAACUGUGAAGUGAGAAGUCCAGAAGGUGUAGAGUAGAAGACAGAGAUGGCUACCAGCCACGGUAGUCCAGCCGGUACAUUUUCAAAAUGAAAUGGAAAACUUUAGAUUGCUUAUGUAAUUACAUAUUAACAGAGCUUCUGUAUAUUCAAUAUAUGAAGACACAGUCUAUUUAGUUAGGCUGUUAUAUAUUAUCUAUAAGGAUUAUAAUUAUUUUUAAGUAUUUUAAAAAUCUUAUGCCAUAAAUCUUAAUGUGUAUUCAUUAUAUAUGAUAUUUUAUUCAUUUACUUCCUCUUCUUGUUUAGGAUACUACUUUAAAGUAGUUUGGGAAAUUAUGAAUAAAGACAAAUUCUUAACAGUA
rnacentral:lncRNA from 1 species